UAAUACGUAGGGGGCAAGCGUUGUCCGGAUUUAUUGGGCGUAAAGAGCUCGUAGGCGGUUUGGCAAGUCACGUGUGAAAUCUCCACGCUCAACGUGGAGGGGUCACGUGAGACUGCUAUGACUAGAGUCCGGUAGGGGAGUGUGGAAUUCCCGGUGUAGCGGUGAAAUGCGCAGAGAUCGGGAGGAACACCCGUAGCGAAGGCGGCACUCUGGGCCGGUACUGACGCUGAGGAGCGAAAGCGUGGGGAGCAAACAGGAUUAGAUACCCUGGUAGUCCACGCCGUAAACGUUGGGCACUAGGUGUGGGACCCUAUCGACGGGUUCCGUGCCGCAGCUAACGCAUUAAGUGCCCCGCCUGGGGAGUACGGCCGCAAGGCUA
rnacentral:rRNA from 1 species